UUUUGCUCCUUUAUCUUAACUUUUAUUAACAGGGGACGACCUCAUAAUCUGGUGACAUCAUGAACCUGGUGGGCCGACAGAUAAAUAUCUUCAAUAAAAGAAAAGCGAGAAUGCCAAAGAACCAGCUAUAAAGUAAUCUGGAAGGAUGUGGAGGUGCUGGGCAGAAGGCCCUGGGGGGAUCUGAAGGAUACUACCAGCAUCCCAAGGGGCACACGGGGCAAUGUGCCCUCCUGCACCUCAGAGGCCUGACAAGUGGAACUGGGAGUAACCCUGGGUCCCUUUCCUUUAUCUUAAUCCAACACCAGCUACAAACAUGCAUGAAGUCGCUAAUGCCAGCUUCAGAUUUGCGACUGAAUCAAAGUCAUCACUACAAGAACCCCUGCCAACUCUCCUCGAAGAUAAAGAGAAAAAAAAAUACAGAAAAUGUGUUGCUUGCAGCGAUCUUCCUAAACCCAAAAGAUUUUAAUAAAAGAACCUAUAUAGUAGACGAAUCGGAAAAGGGAUUCCUGCACCUUGGGUCAGAUUCGAACUCAAUGUGACCCUGAGGAGAAGGCAGUCACCGAGCCCUGGAAAACUCUCCGCAUGUAAUGGGGGGGGGGAUGGGGGAGUAUAAGUGCAUCCACAUUCAGACUUCCCCAGUGUAGACACCCACGCACUAUGUACUUACACACACACA